GNGGGCAGCAGUGGGGAAUUUUGGACAUGGGCGCAAGCCUGAUCCAGCAAUGCCGCGUGAGUGAAGAAGGCNUUCGGGUUGUAAAGCUCUUUUGUCAGGGAAGAAACGGUNUGGGCUAAUAUCCGGGGCUAAUGACGGUACCUGAAGAAUAAGCACCGGCUAACUACGUGCCAGCAGCCGCGGUAAUACGUAGGGUGCAAGCGUUAAUCGGAAUUACUGGGCGUAAAGCGUGCGCAGGCGGUUUUGUAAGUCUGNCGUGAAAUCCCCGGGCUCAACCUGGGAAUUGCGUUGGAGACUGCAAGGCUGGAGUCUGGCAGAGGGGGGUAGAAUUCCACGUGUAGCAGUGAAAUGCGUAGAGAUGUGGAGGAACACCGAUGGCGAAGGCAGCCCCCUGGGUCAAGANUGACGCUCAUGCACGAAAGCGUGGGGAGCAAACAGGAUUAGAUACCCUGGUAGUCCACGCCCUAAACGAUGUCUACUAGUUGUCGGGUUUUAAUUAACUUGGUAACGCAGCUAACGCGUGAAGUAGA
rnacentral:rRNA from 1 species